rnacentral:rRNA from 1 species
GACGAACGCUGGCGGCGUGCUUAACACAUGCAAGUCGAACGGAAAGGCCCUGCUUUUGUGGGGUGCUCGAGUGGCGAACGGGUGAGUAACACGUGAGUAACCUGCCCUUGACUUUGGGAUAACUUCAGGAAACUGGGGCUAAUACCGGAUAGGAGCUCCUGCUGCAUGGUGGGGGUUGGAAAGUUUCGGCGGUUGGGGAUGGACUCGCGGCUUAUCAGCUUGUUGGUGGGGUAGUGGCUUACCAAGGCUUUGACGGGUAGCCGGCCUGAGAGGGUGACCGGCCACAUUGGGACUGAGAUACGGCCCAGACGACUACGAGAGGCAGCAGUGGGGAAUAUUGCACAAGGGGCGGAAGCCUGAUGCAGCAACGCCGCGUGCGGGAGGACGGCCUUCGGGUGGUAAACCGCUUUCGCCUGUGACGAAGCGUGAGGGACGGUAAUGGGUAAAGAAGCACCGGCUAACUACGU